GCGCUAUUGGUUGGAACAGCACUAUUACCCAGCCAUACACCAGCACUUAGUUUGUCAUAGGGAGCAUUUCUGAGCAGUUAUGGAGACCACUAACUAUGCAGUUGUUGCAGUGAAACUUGCACCAGUGUGUUUUCUGUGGAGAUAAAGAGAUAGUGUCCAGCAAUGAAGACCCAACUCAAGAUCUGACCUUGUAAGGCCAAUAUGAAAUAACUGUGGGAAAAUGGGAAAAACCUGCAGUCAGGAAUGCACGGAAAUCAUCAAAAGAACAGUGUUAAAUUAAUCUUGAAUAACUUGACAUUUAUUUUGUUUGACAUAUUUAUUCAUGGUGCAGUGAAAACAUUCUUUUUUUCUCAUGGUUAUUUAAAUUUAGAAUUGAUAGGAGGGAACAUCACUAUGUAGUUUCAUGUUCAUAGUCAGAUCAAAACCCAUGUACAUGCCCAAAUGAGCAUUCGAAAAUAUCAAAAUGGUACUUGUUGUAUGUAGUGUAAGUUAAUUAACAUAAUAAACAAAAAUAUUUAAUCAA